UUCUGGGGGCAGCACGGUUUCUGGGGGCAGCACGGUUUCUGGGGGCAGCAUGGAGGCUUCUGUGGGCAACACUGGGGUUUUUGAGGGCAGCACGGGGGUUUGGAUGGGCAGCAUGGGGGGGACUUGGGUGGGCAGCACGGGCUGCAUUUCGGUGGGUCACACAUCUUCCUUAGAUUCGGAGGUCCUGCAAGAAAGAAUGACGUCUUCAUUAGAAAGAAACUUGGGGUCCGCUUUUGCUUUCUUCUACCUUGACUCCCCCGUACACCCCGCUUCAGGAUAAUGGCUCACUCUCUGGGCAGAGCAGGGCCGGGUCCCUCAGAGUCCAUGGCCCUCCCCAUCACCCUGGGCCUCUCCCCCGGGCCAGUGUGUGUGCUCCUAACUGGGUGGUGGCUGUCUUCUAGAUAAGGAAUCAAAAGACCAGAAUCUACAAGAAAUCUGCCUGAAAUCUCCUAGCUGGUGAGGAACAAGGGGCCCGCAGACUGAGGAUGAGUCAGAUUCAGGUGCUCCACAACAGUAUAAAAUCCUUCCCGUCUCAAGUGCGGCACGGGACCUGAGUACAACAGGACCCUCAGAGCCACCAGCCGUGGCAACCACAGAGGUGACGAGGUUUCAACCACUUGCCAGCCUCUGGCGCCCACGGGAUUUUUGCAAAAAGCCUCAGUCCAGACAAGUUUUUGAAACUCAACUCGUCACGACUGUGGGCUUUCCACUAAGCAUGCACGCUUGUGUAUCUGUGUGUGUGUGUGUGUGUGCACACGCGUGUGCGAGUGUCUGUUCACAGGUACAAACAAGGAAGAACUAGAGGCUCCUGACAAAGGCUGUUUAACUCCCUCUUGGUGGAGCCUGGGUGAAUCGCCCUUCCCAGAGAGAGAGAGACCCCUGGGGACAGAAACCAAUCCCUGUUCACAUCAAAAGAGUCCUCCCGUGGGACAGACACUGAGCAGCCUUCCGGACAGUGUGGAGGAUUCCUGAGCUAGGCGGUCACUGAAGGGUGCCUGUGAGAGGACCCACUUUGCUACCAGAACCCUGUGACUUUGUAGAGGAGCCGGGGCCUGGCCGUCCUGGACGGGUGGGUGUUAGGCACUUAGAGCCAACAUUUUUCACCCGGGGAUUCGUCUAAUCCAGUUCAUGCUGGACAAACUGGGUCCCACUGAGUCAGCUGGGGCUGAGGCUUCCACCCUGCAGAAGUCACUCCAUCUGACAAGCUGCGGCCCAGCCCGGCCCGGCCCCUGCCACUCUGCUUUCUGAACAGUGGAGCCUCGCCUUGGGCUUUCUCUGUGGGAGGGUGUCCACUGGCCGGUGUCCAGGAGGCCAAACUGUGCUCCUUGAUGCUAUCUGCGGGGACAGGCUGGGGUGACUCCCUUAGGACCUGCAGUACCUGGAUGUCCUAGAGUCCCCAGAGGAAAAGGAAUUAGGAAAGGAGGCGUCACUUGCAAGACUUCUGCCCCUGGUCUGAGCCCGUCACACAGUCAGACCCUUGGCUGUGUGGCCGCGGCCUGAACCCGGCCAGGGACGGUUCCCAGCCUAAAGGGGAAAGCGGCUUCUUUAACUUCAAUUAAAGUUGGCUUUAUUUCACUUAAGGA